rnacentral:lncRNA from 1 species
AGGUGAUGGUAUGUUAAAAACUUCAGUCUUCACCUCUGAUGAUUUCCUGCAGCCUAGCACCUGGUAUACCUCUCAGUCUCACAUGUCUUCACUCUUUCUCGCGUUAGCGCAAGCAUAACUGCAUUGUCUGUUGAGGUCCCAUCAAAUGCACUUGCUGAAAUAUCUGGCAAAUAUUGCGGGAACAGAAACACAUGCUAACAAACGUUGUGGAGAAUGGAAAGACAAAUACUUGCCAAUUAAUGAUAAAAGAAAUACCUAAUUUGAAGAAGUAAGUGUAGCAUCAGCAUCGUAUACUUAAAUUACUAUCUCUGUCUCGCUCUCUUAAUACAGUGUGUAGUGUUAAUUUACUUCAAUAAUAAUUUACAACUAAUAACUUAACUUUAAUUUAAUAACCACAUGCACUACUAUUUAAGGAAGAACCCAAUUGUAAUUCAGUUAGUCUUAGUCUUAGUCCUAGUCUGCUAGACUAAAUUCUCGAGCACUCAUCAUCUUCAAAUUCUCAACGCUCGACCUCCUUUCGAUCUCCUAUCAGACUCUCAUCCGACUCUCAUUCAAUUCUCUCGACUAUCCCAAUCGAUAAGUCUAUAAUCGCACACACAUCUUGCUCACAUACAUAUUGUGCUUAUCAAUUUCAUCAUUAUUAAUAUUCACUGUCUCUUCCACUCUAACUCAUCUGUUAUUAUUAAGUGUGUUAACACAUACAUUUACAGUUGAGUUUUGUAAAUUGAUUUCUUAUUAUUACAACGCAACAAGUGAAUUACACUUAUUUUCAUAAUCAAGAAGCAGUGAGACCUUGUUUUAUGUACAUUCAAUUAUUCUUUUUUGUAUUUAUUAGGAUGUGUCAAGAUGAACUCAAACAAUGGAACAUUUAAUAUAAUUUCUGUACUUGUUGGAUGGGCUGAAGCAUUCAUAAUGUGUCUCCAUAUCUUGUUAUGCCAAGCUUAGGACUGAUGUCAUCAUUAAGUCUUAGAUUCAAGCAAGUUCAAGUGGUAUUUCCCUCUUCAUAUUUGAGUGAAAAGACAUCAAGAUCACAUUACAAACAUUGUUCUUUUUUAAUAAGAAUAAUUGUCAUAAAUUGUCUUACAAA